rnacentral:lncRNA from 1 species
UUUUUUGGCCUUUUGCCUAACUGUUGGUUCACCGGGCAAACGGGCUGAUAACUCGGCAUCCGUAUAUUGGAAUCGAGUACCGUAAGCUGCAACACGUGCCUAAUGUCUAUAUGGUGCUAUGUGUGUGUUUGCGUGUCGUUCGGACGAUCGAGGUGGGUUUUGGUCUCUUUUUUGCCUUUUUGCCUAAGUAUUGGCAAUUCGGGCAAACGGG